rnacentral:rRNA from 1 species
AGGACGAACGCUUGCGACGUGCCUAAGAAAUGCAAGUCGAGCGGAGGGAGCAAUCCCUUAGCGGCGAACGGUCGCGUAACACGUAGGCAACCUGCCCGAAAGACCGGGACAACGUUCCGAAAGGGGCGCUAAUACCGGAUGUGGCCACGAGGACGAUGUUCUUGUGAUUAAAGCCUCGCAAGGGGGCUUUCGGAGGGCCUGCGGCCUAUCAGCUAGUUGGCGGGGUAGAAGCCCACCAAGGCGACGACGGGUAGCUGGU